rnacentral:rRNA from 1 species
GACAGAGGUGGCGAGCGUUGUCCGGAUUCACUGGGCGUAAAGGGUGUGUAGGCGGUCGUGUAAGUCAGUUGUGAAAUCCGUCGGCUCAACCGAAGAAGAGCGACUGAUACUGCACGGCUGGAGUGCGGAAGAGGAAAGUGGAAUUCCUGGUGUAGCAGUGAAAUGCGUAGAUAUCAGGAAGAACACCAAUGGCGAAGGCGACUUUCUGGUCCGCUACUGACGCUGAGGCACGAAAGCCAGGGGAGCGAACGGG